rnacentral:rRNA from 1 species
UACGUAGGCAGCAAGCGUUGUUCGGAGUUACUGGGCGUAAAGAGUGCGUAGGUGGUGCCCUAAGUCUGUUGUGAAAUCUCCCGGCUUAACUGGGAGGGUGCGGUGGAAACUGGGGUGCUUGAGUGUGGGAGAGGUAAGCGGAAUUCCUGGUGUAGCGGUGAAAUGCGUAGAUAUCAGGAGGAACACCGGUGGUGUAGACGGCUUACUGGACCACGACCGACACUGAGGCACGAAAGCGUGGGUAGCAAACAGG